rnacentral:rRNA from 1 species
CCUACGGGCGGCAGCAGUGGGGAAUUUUGGACAAUGGGGGCAACCCUGAUCCAGCCAUUCCGCGUGAGUGAAGAAGGCCUUCGGGUUGUAAAGCUCUUUCGCAAGGGAAGAAAACUUACUCAAUAACACUGGGUGAGGCUGACGGUACCUUGAUAAGAAGCACCGGCUAACUACGUGCCAGCAGCCGCGGUAAUACGUAGGGUGCGAACGGGAAUCGGAAUUACUGGGGGUAAAUCGUGCACUCACAGGUGAAAUCCCCGGGCUCAACCUGGGAACUGCGUGUGAAACUACAAGGCUAGAGUAUGGCAGAGGGGGGUAGAAUUCCACGUGUAGCAGUGAAAUGCGUAGAGAUGUGGAGGAAUACCAAUGGCGAAGGCAGCCCCCUGGGUCAAUACUGACGCUCAUGCACGAAAGCGUGGGGAGCAAACAGGAUUAGAUACCCCGGUAGUC